rnacentral:rRNA from 1 species
AUUGAACGCUGGCGGCAUGCUUUACACAUGCAAGUCGAACGGUAACAGGCCGCAAGGUGCUGACGAGUGGCGAACAGGUGAGUAAUGCAUCGGAACGUGCCCAGUCGUGGGGGAUAACGCAGCGAAAGCUGCGCUAAUACCGCAUACGAUCUAUGGAUGAAAGCGGGGGACCGUAAGGCCUCGCGCGAUUGAAGCGGCUGAUGUCAGAUUAGGUAGUUGGUGGGGUAAAGGCUCACCAAGCCAACGAUCUGUAGCUGGUCUGAGAGGACGACCAGCCACACUGGGACAGGGACACGGCCCAGACUCCUACGGGAGGCAGCAGUGGGGAAUUUUGGACAAUGGGCGCAAGCCUGAUCCAGCAAUGCCGCGUGCAGGAAGAAGGCCUUCGGGUUGUAAACUGCUUUUGUACGGAACGAAAAGGCUCUGGAUAAUACCUGGGGCUCAUGACGGUACCGUAAGAAUAAGCACCGGCUAACUACGUGCCAGCCGCCGCCGUAACAC